CCACUACACCUGGCCCCGAAAGGAGAGCUAUAUUUGAAACUAAAAAUACAAGGACAUAGUCUCAGGAUAAAGAAGAGUUCUUGGGACGGGCACAGUGGCUCACACCUGUUAUCCCAGCACUUUGGGAGGCUGAGGUGGGCGAAUCACAAGGUCAGGAGUUCAAGACCAGCCUGACCAACAUAGUGAAACCCCGUCUCUACUAAAAAUACAAAAAAUUAGCUGGGUGUGGUGGCAGGCACCUGUAAUCUCAGCUACUUGGGAGGCUGAGAUAGG
rnacentral:lncRNA from 1 species